rnacentral:rRNA from 1 species
CCUACGGGAGGCAGCAGUGAGGAAUAUUGGUCAAUGGGCGGGAGCCUGAACCAGCCAAGUCGCGUGAGGGAAGACGGUCCUACGGAUUGUAAACCUCUUUUGCCGGGGAGCAACGGGGUCCUUGCGAGGGCCCGAUGAGAGUACCCGGAGAAAAAGCAUCGGCUAACUCCGUGCCAGCAGCCGCGGUAAUACGGAGGAUCCGAGCGUUAUCCGGAUUUAUUGGGUUUAAAGGGUGCGUAGGCGGUUUGAUAAGUUAGAGGUGAAAUGUCGGGGCUCAACCCCGAAACUGCCUCUAAUACUGUUGGACUAGAGAAUAGUUGCGGUAGGCGGAAUGUAUGGUGUAGCGGUGAAAUGCUUAGAGAUCAUACAGAACACCGAUUGCGAAGGCAGCUUACCAAACUAUAUCUGACGUUGAGGCACGAAAGCGUGGGUAGCAAACAGGAUUAGAUACCCUUGUAGUC